CUACUUUGGUUUCUCUUCAGAUCAUAUAAAUCUUUUAUCUUUUACUAAAGAUUUCCGUGGAGAGGAACAACUCAGACCUUUCAGCUAAUUUUUGAGGCCUUGCCUUUGAUAGGGCU
rnacentral:snRNA from 1 species